rnacentral:lncRNA from 1 species
UCAUUUCUACCAAAAAAUCUGCCUCUCUCUAUCUUCCCACUCUCUAUACUUUCUCUCUCUCUCUAAAACCAAAAUAACAGAUGCCGCCUCCACCGCCUUCACUAGCAACCACUGGUAAGCUAUUUUUCUCCUCCCCAAGGUUUGCCGCCGCUGCACAAAAGUCAUGCUGCCGCCACAGCCAUCGCCGCCGGCGGACUCAACAAUUUCAUCUAAUCACCACGAUUCAGGUGCCGGUGAUCCGCUGCUCCUCCCUCUGUGUCCGUCGCCUCCUUUCCUAACACCACCAACAAUGGCAACAACCAUACCAACCGUCCCUCCAUUAUCCUUUUCAACCAUACCCUUCGUCCACCAGUUACAAAUGUAGAUGACAAGCAAAGUGCGACUUGAAUGUCUGACAUCUUUUUUGGCCCUGAGUUGACGAGAAGGUUUGCGUACUUUCAGCUUAGAUGCAUUUUUGAUAGACAAAUUCUUUUCGGGAGAUAUGUUCUUAGUUAUGCGCUUCUCCAGUGUAUUGUAAGUUAGAAGAAGCACCGAUAGGCUCUCUAUGUUUUAGACCAGGCUGUGGCCUUCGUACCACUUGUCAUAAGGUAAACUAUUUCUAUCUCCAUCUCCUUUUAUUUUCAUGUAAUUCUAUUUGAUAUUGUUUAUUCAUGUGUUGGUUUUAUACUUGGAUCGAUUUAGUUAUGUGUAUGGUCAAAAGCCUAUGUUUUGUCAUGACAAGAAGAAUUUUAAUCAGGGCAGCAGCACUAUAUGUGUUCACUUGUUAGGAUACAUUAGUGCUGCACCAUUUUUUCUUUUAAAAAAUUAUUUUUCCUUUAUAGUUUUCUUUCUGUCACUAUUUUAUUCUAUUGUGAUACAAAGAAGAAAAUGAAAGUUUAUUUUUCCUUAUAUUUGUUGAUGUCUUGUUCUUCCUUCCAGUGUUACUAACCUUUUUCUCAACUCCUAACUUGAUCUAUAAUUAUUUUCAUGGACAUCAUUAAUUAUCUGUCAUGUUGCAUAUAGGCCUGUUUUGCUAAAACGAAAUUGUACUGUUCGUGCAAGAUCUAGCUGUCUGUGAACAUUAAUAUCCAAAAUUAAGAGGAUGGAAAAUUUAAUGCCUUGCUCUACUAUAGAUCUUUAUUCAGGUUGUCAAGAGGCAAAAUCAUCCAUCAGUAGAUACAAAAGAUUAUAUAACUGUGUAUGGUCAGCGGAAUGUCAAACCACAUUUAAUGAUCUUAUAACUGUUAUAAGACUUGACAAACCUCCUUCCUUUUAAGAUAGCUUUUGGAUUGUGAGUUGGCCUUAAGCUAUGAGAGUCAGACACGUUAGGUCCGAUGUGGCGCCCUCAUAUCGUGUGGGGUUGUGAAGCAGGGUGCAGCUAAUAUGAACUUUGUAAUUUCAAUUGCUUUCCAUAUGGAAGUAUAUUCACACCGCACCUGUAUUUUUUUACUUCUUCAAUCCUAGAUUGUAUUACUAUUUCUUAUAAGAUCAUAACUUAAGUUUUGAUAUAAUAUGCAUUUUGGUGAAUGGAAUGUCCCCCGUUAUUAAAUGGGUAGAAUCUUGUGAUCCUUGUAAGGCCUGAGCAAUAUCUUUCCUUUGAGCCAGCUUUUGAGGUGUGGGUUAGGUUUAAAGCCUAAUUUGAAUGUUAUUAGAGGUAGGCCUGAUAUGGUCCCUUACAUUUGGGGAGUGAGUGAAAUCUUGAGAUCCUUAAAGGUGAACUUUUGUUUUGAAUUUACUUUAGUUUGGUAACUUGUGAAGUGAAUUAGUGGCUUGAAAUGUUUAAGUGUAGGUACUUGAAAGGUGAAUGUUUGUUUUGAAUUUAGUAGGGUACAUGGUCACUUGAGAAGUGAAUUAGUGACUUUGAUUUGUUUAAGUGUAGGUAAUUGAAAUGUGAACUUGUGUUUUGAAUUUAGUUUAGUUUGGUAACUUGUGAAGUGAAUUUGUGACUUGAAAUGUUUUAAGUGUAGGUACUUGAUAGGUGAAGUUUUGUUUUGAAUUUAGUAAGGUACAUGGUCACUUGAGAAGUGAAUUAGUGACUUCGAUUUGUUUAAGUGUAGGUAAUUGAAAUGUGAACUUGUGUUUUGAAUUUAGUUUAUUUUGGUAACUUGUGAAGUGAAUUAGUGAAUUAAAAUAUUUAAGUGUAGGUACUUGAUAGGUGAAGUUUUGUUUUGAAUUUAGUAAGGUACAUGGUCACUUGAGAAGUGAAUUAGUGACUUCGAUUUGUUUAAGUGUAGGUAAUUGAAAUGUGAACUUGUGUUUUGAAUUUAGUAAAGUACAUAGUCACUUGAGAAGUGAAUUAAUGACUUGAAAAUGUUUAAGUAUAGGAACUUGAAAUGUUAAUUUGUACUUUGAAUUAGUAAAGUACAGGUCACUUGAGAAGUGAAUUAGUGACUUGAAAAUGUUUAAGUGUAAGUACUUGAAAUGUGAACUUUUGUUUUGAAUGUAGUAAAGUACAUGGUCACUUGUGAAGUGAAUUAGUUACUUGAAAUGCUUAAGUGUAAGUACUUGAAAUGUGAACUUUUGUUUUGAAUGUAGUAAAGUACAUGGUCACUUGUGAAGUGAAUUAGUUACUUGAAAUGCUUAAGUGUAGGUACUUGAAAUGUAAACUUUUGUUUUGAAUUUAGUAAAGUACAUGUUCACUUGAGAAGUGAAUUAGCAAUUUGAAAAUGUUUCAAGUGUAGGUACUUGAAAUGUGAACUUUUGUUUUGAAUUUAGUUUAGUUUGGUAACUUAUGAAGUGAAUUAGUGACUUGAAAAUGUUUAAGUGUAGGUAUUUGAAAUAUGAACUUUUAUUUUGAAUUUAGUUUAGUUUGGUUACUUGUGAAGUGAAUUAGCAACUUGAAGUGAAAACAGGAAAAGCGACCACGUGUGGUCGGUUUUUGUGGUCGCUUUUCUUGUUUAUUCUAGUAGUGGUAGUUACUUGAAAAUAUGGUUAAGUAUAGUGACUUGAAACCUAUACUAGUGACUUGAAAAUUGUUAAAGUGUAGUUACUUAAAAUGUGAAUUAAUUACUUGAAAGUGGUUAAGUAUAGUUACUUGAAAAUGGUUAAGUAUAAUUACUUGAAAUGUGAAUUAAUUAUUUGAAAAUGGUUAAGUGUAGUAACUUGAAAUGUGAAUUAGUUACUUGAAAAUGGUAAGUGUAGUUACUUGAAAUGUGUACUGGUGACUUGAAAAUAGUUAAGUAUAGUUACUUGAAAAUGCUAAUAUAUACAUAUUUAUAUUUGUUGAUUGUUAUGAUUUUAUUUGCUACUAUAAUAUCAUAUAAUUUAUACUAAUAAUGUUUUUAACACUUUUUAUGACCUGAAUUAACAUAUUCUUAUGCAUAAUGAGUUUGAAAGAAAGAAACAAGAAAUAUUAGUUGCUCAAAGUGUAUCAAUUGUGGAAGAAGGAUGAGAAAAGAAUUAGACUUGUUGGUGAAACAUGUAUACAAGAAAUCAUCUGCAAAUGAUGAACGUCCAUCUCAAGAAGACAACCAAGCUUAUGAGGAUGAAAGUGAUGGUGACUCUGACGACGUGAAUGAAAUUGAUAAUCCUGAUAACGUGAAUGAAAGUGAUCCGAUCCUUAUGGUUGUAGUUUUAUUGAGGAUUCAAGUUUAAAAUAUUUUGUUUUGGACCAUUUAAGUAUCAUACAUUAUUGAUGUGGAUGUUUUGAAUUAUGUUUUUUUCUGUUAGCUGUAAGGGUUUACAUUAGAUUUGUAUUAAAUGAUGUUUUUGAGAAUUAUUAAAGGUUUUGAGUAGAUUUUUGAUUAAUUGUGAAAUGUUUUUAGUAAUUUACGUGUGAAUUAUUAUUUGAAAUUUUUAUGGGGA